rnacentral:rRNA from 1 species
GUUUGAUCCUGGCUCAGAUUGAACGCUGGCGGCAUGCCUUACACAUGCAAGUCGAACGGCAGCACGGGAGCAAUCCUGGUGGCGAGUGGCGAACGGGUGAGUAAUAUAUCGGAACGUGCCCAGUCGUGGGGGAUAACGCAGCGAAAGCUGUGCUAAUACCGCAUACGAUCUACGGAUGAAAGCGGGGGAUCGCAAGACCUCGCGCGAUUGGAGCGGCCGAUAUCAGAUUAGCUAGUUGGUGGGGUAAAAGCCCACCAAGGCGACGAUCUGUAGCUGGUCUGAGAGGACGACCAGCCACACUGGAACUGAGACACGGUCCAGACUCCUACGGGAGGCAGCAGUGGGGAAUUUUGGACAAUGGGCGCAAGCCUGAUCCAGCAAUGCCGCGUGCAGGAUGAAGGCCUUCGGGUUGUAAACUGCUUUUGUACGGAGCGAAACGGCUUCCCUUAAUACGGGGAGCUAAUGACGGUACCGUAAGAAUAAGCACCGGCUAACUACGUGCCAGCAGCCGCGGUAAUACGUAGGGUGCGAGCGUUAAUCGGAAUUACUGGGCGUAAAGCGUGCGCAGGCGGUUAUAUAAGACAGAUGUGAAAUCCCCGGGCUCAACCUGGGACCUGCAUUUGUGACUGUAUAGCUAGAGUACGGUAGAGGGGGAUGGAAUUCCGCGUGUAGCAGUGAAAUGCGUAGAUAUGCGGAGGAACACCGAUGGCGAAGGCAAUCCCCUGGACCUGUACCGACGCUCAUGCACGAAAGCGUGGGGAGCAAACAGGAUUAGAUACCCUGGUAGUCCACGCCCUAAACGAUGUCAACUGGUUGUUGGGUCUUCACUGACUCAGUAACGAAGCUAACGCGUGAAGUUGACCGCCUGGGGAGUACGGC